GUGUCAGCAGCCGCGGUAAGACGUACCACCCAAACGUUAUUCGGAAUCACUGGGCUUACAGAGUCCGUAGGCGGCUCGGAAAGUUGGGCGUGAAAUACCUCAGCUCAACUGAGGAAUUGCGCUCAAAACUACCGAGCUGGAGAGAGACAGAGGUGAGCGGAACUGAUGGUGGAGCGGUGAAAUGCGUUGAUAUCAUCAGGAACACCGGUGGCGAAGGCGGCUCACUGGGUCUUUUCUGACGCUGAGGGACGAAAGCUAGGGUAGCGAACGGGAUUAGAUACCCCGGUAGUCCUAGCCUUAAACGAUGAGCACUAGAUCGAGGGGACCCUCACAUCCUCUUGGUCGUAGGGAAACUGUUAAGUGCUCCGCCUGGGGAGUAUGGUCGCAAGGCUGAA
rnacentral:rRNA from 1 species